AGGGGCGGGGCCUGAGCGGAGCGCUCCUCUGACUUUGAGUAGGUUGCAGGUUUCCCCUCAGAGUCUUGAGAGUAGUCUCCUUUACUUUUGUGAAACAAGAAUUGUCGAUUGACGCUCACAGAGCGGGCUUUGGAGACACCUAGAGGGAUCUUUCAGCCAGUAAUGCCAUGAUUCUGCCAGGCACAUGGGGGUCGGCGCCAACGAGGCCGUUGAGACCGCUGGCCUUGUUAAGGCACGCCCCCCCCCCCCCCCCCCCCCAUACAACAGCCUAGUUCUGGUCGCUGAAGAGGAAGGUCUUGGAGGCCGUGCUCAAAACUGAGCCCGCAGCAGAGGAGGUUGGCGGUCGUCGGAGCUCGCCAGCAUCGUGGCCCUCAGAACUCCUGUUUACCGCAGAUACUCGGGACCCUGGCUGCCGGGCCUUGGAGAUCUGCAUCCUGCAGACUUAGUCAUGCACCAGGACUCUUGAUGGAGUAAGAAUAUUAGCAAAGGACUUCUCCUGUCUCUUGGGUAGUGAAGGACCUGAUACUGGGCACAGUGGAAUGCUAGCUCACUCGUCUCUUCCCUUGUCAGGAAAGUUGGUGGAAGAAGAGACACUUGGAGAAUCAAGACUCUCCCAUGAGUAGGUUGGGUGCUGAGAAGAACAGUUACCAGAAAAGGAAACACAAAGAAUGGGAAUGGCUUUUCAUCCUGGUUGUGGGAAGAAUAAACACAUUUCAUAGAGCCAAGCUGCAAGGGGAUUGUUCCGAGACUGGAAAUCUAUUCAGGACACGGAUUAAACUCUGUCACUGCUGUUGAUUACAUCUGAUGAACAUGGAUUUCUUGAAUCCCUGAAGCAGAGACAAGUCUUUGCCUACUUAAAGGUAAAAUUAUCUGUUAGCCAAUAGCAACCAACACAGCUUGAAUAUUAGACUGAUUAUAUAAUUCCAUGGCAUAUAGAAGACAAUCUGAAUAGGACAAUUAAAAAUGCUGUAUGUAUAACGUAUUAACAUUCAAAACAACUCAAUGACACAGAUGUACUUCCUCCAUUUACACGUAAAGAAGCUAAGGAUUAGGGAGCUCAAGUUAGUUGCCUAACGGGACGUUGCUAUCUGGAGAAACAAACAGGAUUUGAACUCAAACCAAUCUGACUCCAGAGGACAAGCUCUUUGGUGUCCUGGGAAAAUCUAGUAACUUGAAUCUUCUCAACUCAUCUAACAUUUAAAUUCUAUCAAGGGUAUCUUCAAACCUGUCCAUAAAAGACCCGAAAGUGUCCUAAAUGGAAAAUGCCUCGAUCUUACACGAAUGCAGAUGCAAACAAGCAGAAAACUGCCCCCAUUUAUAGCCUGGUCAGAUUUUUGAAGGCUGGGAAACUACACGUUAGGCUGCGUUUUGGUACCAUGCAGCAGAACCACUGCUUCCUGUGCCAGGCCAACUUCCUGCCGGCGCUGUCAGGCUGAGGGUAUAAAAGGCAGCAGGUGCACCUAGUCACAGACCCCUCUGACGAGGCAGGCCCUUCACCACUCUCGCCUCUCAGGUUGCCCAUCACUUUGGAAGUAUCUUUGUGAGACAACAAAGACACAACGGAAACAGCCGUCCCCCUAAGUCUCUGUGGUCACCCUGCCCAAGCCAAGUGAGUUGGACGGGAGGCCUGGCCUAGGCCAGUACUGCAUAGGAUCAAUGGCAGCAUUCAAGGGAGGGGCUAGUAUGUUGCCAGGAUGCUACUGCCCCCUCGGUGCUAAGCCCCACUUGUCGCCGCCCAUACCACUGCUCAGGAAACAAAUCUGCAUUUCAGAUUCUGCAGCCGCUUUAAGGAAAAACUCACAUGUGUUGGUUGCUGGCUCACACUGCAGUGAUAAGGUCUGCAGACUCUCCUCAUCCAUUUCUAGCUCCAAAUUGGACAGGUACUGCUUGACUUUUCGAGCCAUUUGGGCAUCUUCGUAAAGCUUUUUGGCAUUGAGAAAGGAACUACGACGUACCCGCUUUUUAUGACCACCUGUCUGAGCAACGUCUAGCACUGUUGCAUUUGUACUACCCUGGCUGAGAGACCUGGAAGAUGAAAAGGCAGAUAUGCAGCUCACUCUACCAUGGGGUUCCUUUAUCUAUUUGAAACAUGCCAAGACUUACACAAGUAUUCUGCGUUCAAAAGAUCACAUGCCUCAUUCUGGUAAGUAAACUGUUACAAGGAAAUAUAGACUAAUAUAGAUUAAAUUUUCUUAAGUUAAAAAAGAAUCAUACGUACAUACAUAUAUAUAUGUUUCUAGUCCAACUCGGAAAUUCUGCUUUUCUCAUAUAUAGAGCAUUCAAGGCAGUUCUUUCAUAGAAGCCAGCAAAUACUGAUUAUAUAUAGGAGCUCAUGCAAUACACAGUUAAAAAUCAUUGAGAUUUACGUGAAAUUUACUUCUCCUAAAGAGGAUAUUUUACAUAAAUUUAAAUAAAAUUAGCUACACUGUUCACAAUCGUUUUCUUAUUCCUUGAGUGAAAGAGUUUUUGAAGUAAUAUGGGUCAAUCUGUUAAUAAAAUGAUCAUGCAAAUGUAAACAUAUAUAUAUAUAUAGAAACUAGCACAUGAAUUGUUAAGAAUUAUGUUUAAAAAGUAUCGGUUUAUAGAAUGAAAACAGUAGUUAGUUGAGCUGUAAAAACUGUAGUUUUAACACCUUGGGGCACUUUUUACAUUAUAUAUAUUUACUUAAAUAUCUGUGCAAUAGUAUUUAAAUUGCACAGUUUUUCCUUCUAAUGUUCUUCCUCCCGUAACCCCGCAUUAGGCUUUCUCCAUUUCCAAGUACACAAAUCAUAUUAAAAUAAAAUCUUUUUGAAGACUGAGAAGUAUGCCUGGCCUACAGUUCCCCAGAACAAUCAUCAACCACUUCACAGCUCUCAUGGAUCAUGACCUCAAAAACAAAAGCCCCAACAGAUUAAACGUGAAGUCAGCAAGAGGGUUAAGAGAAAAUGCAAAGCAUCAGAAAAUACAGCAGUGCUUACUGAAGGAAUUAUUUGGCAACAUUACUUUUGGCAACAAUAUUCUCUAGACUGGCCAAAACAGAGAAAAGUUUCAGUCUUCCUGUCGGCAAUGCUGUGGAGAAACAGCUUAAACUUUGAUCCAGUUGUAGCUGUUGACAAGAUGGAUGACUUCACAGUCUUUUCUAGUCCUGUGGUCUCUAUUUUUAAUUUUUUCUAUUAUUAGGUAGCUUUACUAAUUACUAAGUUCUUUCCUUACUCCUCACUAUGGCUCUAUGAGGUGCAUGUUUUCUUUCUCAUUUCACAGGGAGAAAACAGGCUCAAAGUCAUAUAAUUAGGAAGUGACAGUGAUGAUUCAGGACCGUCUGCCUCCAAACCUCCUGCUGGACAUUAUAGCUCUACCAGGAAGACCGGGUGUAUCACUGGACAAGUAAUGGAAAUGUAAGAGUUUCCUAUUUCAUAAUGAUUAUUAGCCUAGGUUUGCUGAGAAAUCCAAUAGUUAAAAAAGAAUGAAAAACUAAAAACAAAAAAAAAUACUGCCACCAACAUUUGAAAUUUAUAUAACUGAAAAAUUUCCCAACUAACCUUAGAAUCACUUUAUUUCAAGAAAUCGUUACACAAGGAUUGGGGUGAUUGUUGGGAUCUGUGCAAUCUUCCCUGGCAGUUUACUUUGCGUAACACUUUGAAGGCAAAUUAAAUAUACUCAGUCACUAAAAACUAACUCUACAUUGAGAUGUAUUACUAAGAAUUUACCCAAAUGAAUACUGUUUUCCUCCUAUCAUCGCUGAAGUUUUGUAAGUAUUCUUCAUGCUCAUGUUUUCGAGCUCUGCAAGGAAGAGCUGGUGUGCUAACUGGACACACUGACUAUUUUUCUCAGAAAUGUUAAUGAAAAUACAGUCUCCUAUAUUUUCUACUCAUUCAUCACUUAUUGGAAACCUGUGUUGUGAGGAGUAAAUGAAUGGCUGGGCACAAAGCAUUUAGGUUAGGGUCUGGCACACAGAAAUCACUAUAGAAGUGUGUUAGCUAUAAUUACCACAUGCAGAUGCUGCGUAAGAAACAGGUCCUUUCCAGCUCCAGAAUUCCUGUAGCUGAAAUCUAAGACUAGAUACCAGUGGGUUACUGAGCUACUUACUACCUGAGAGGGUUUUAGUGGUCAAAAUCAUCCAGCCACAAACACUAUUCCCUUAUCCACUUUAGAAUUCAAGUUGUGCUUUAAAAGCAAUUCCUAUUCUCUGUGUCUGUACACAUGUAUGUACACACACACACACACACACACACACACACACACACACCCUGUAUUUCUUUUACCACUUAUCUUUUCGGUUACUACUAGUCCUGACACUCUCUGACCUGUUUCUACAUACAGCUUGAAUAAGCAGGAAUAUUAUUUAUAGUUUAUUUUAAAGGCCACUGUAUAAUAUGGUUUUGACUUUUACAUCUCUCAAUCAUAAUAUUUCUUUAAGAACUCCAAAUAAGGGAAACAUUUGGACUCCUGAAUAUUAUUCAUCAGAAAUAAUUUUUGCAGGGACACCUGGGUGGCUCAGUCAGUUAAGCGUCCGACUUCAGCUCAGGUCAUUAUCUCA